UUCCUGGCAGAUUAAAACUGUGUGCCGGACCGAGACUCGAACUCGGGACCGAGUUCGAGUCUCAGUCCGGCACUCAGUUAUAAUUUGCCAGGAAGUUUCAAGUCUUAUUUCCUGCCUUAAAAAUU